rnacentral:lncRNA from 1 species
GCAGGAUGAUCCAAGCUGGCCAGAGCAGGAGUUAGUGCUUUCUCUCUCUCUCCUAGCUAAAAUCUAUCCUGAAACACUUCUGAUACCAAAAUGCACCAAGUUAAGCACAAAAGCAAACAUUUCUGGUGAUGUGGCUGACUUUUGGCAGGACAAAGACAAACCUUGGCAUAUGGAUGGGCAUGGAAACUGUGCUAAUAGUGCACAGAUCAAAUCAAAGUGUCAAAACAACAUCCCCGGCACUCCAGCGGCAGCUCCUGCCCACCAGACGGACAUGUGAGGAGCAGGUAUUUUUAGCUGAAAAGAAUAACCACCAAGGGUCAUGUAGUGAAGAAAAUAAGACAAUGACAGAUGCUGUCUGAGGAUCCCCACUGGUACAAGGUCCUCUCUGAGGUGCAGUUACAGCUCUUUACACCUA